AUAUUUAUUUUUUUUUAACAUCUUCAACAGUACCAUCGGGGUACUGUUCCUUAUAAAAAUCAAGGAGUAUAUUAUAUUGUUUUUUCUUCUCAUCCCUAUUACUGUACGCGUCUGUCCGCACAUUCCACAAUGCAUCAAGGCAUUGGUACAUUUCAAUAAAUUUUAUUGUAAUGUUUUUUUCGUCCGCGCACUUACUAUUCAUGUUUACUCCUCAACGUUACAACACAAAUGGCAUUUUGCUUGACAAACAGUAAUGGAGACGUUCAAAUAGAUUUGCGCAAAUAAAAAUAUCAAAAUAUUUUGAUUUUCCAUCAAGCAGAGCCGACAACAAAUGUGUGUAGCCGACGAAAGCCGAUUAGACUCACAUGGACACACACAUAUAAGCUGCUUGACCAACAAAUUUGAGCGUCUCCAGGCCACUUAAACGACACGACUAUGAAUAGUCGAGUACUCGGUUUCCACCCAAGUCCAUAGUCGAGUUCGGCAAACGAUAGUAGCAGCUAGUUCCGCGCUCUUUAGUGAAGAUGUUCAAUUUUCUCAUGUCUCAUUCGUAAACAACAGAGUACCCCGAGUCUGCUUUCUGUUUAUUUUUUAUCGGGUGUUCCUUUGUGGCCUUCAUAUUCGUUUCGUUAGGACGUUUUUCAUUUUUGUUCCCAACGCGCUUGAAGCAAAGACGACAAUCAACUCCUCGCCAUGGAAGUGCAAGUAAUUUGUCAAUGAAAUUUGAAUUCGCUGCAACAAAAACAAACUUCAAAACUAUGGUAGAAGAAUGCAGGUAGUCGCAUCGUGUAGCAGACGUACGUUUGUUAUUAAGUAGACCUGUAAAAAAUACAGAAAUAUGUAAACUCAGAAAACUUGUUGCAGGCCGUUCACAUGCGGCGCAAAAAGGCAACAAAUAUAUGGGGCCGUGUUUUUUGGCAAAACCUGUCCACAACCACCGCAGAAAUUAUCCCAAUUCUGUUGGUAGUGCAUCCCAUAAUUGGUCCUCAAAUGGAUUUGCUCAGUUUUCCUGGGUUUUUAGUGAGGAUGGUGAGGAUGCUUCGAGAUUUCAAUUUGCUUGUAAUUUCUGCGGGGUGUGUAGUCCGGGUGGCGAUGGGAUCAAAAUGCCGGAAAUGGUUUGUUAGGGUUCGCUACGUACGAAAUUAGGCUCGAACAGGGUUGAGUAAAAGAGUAUUAUAAAGGUAGUAAAUGACAGGGUGACUCAGGCUAAGAAGUGACUAGGCAGCCCUAUGAUUGCUGAGUAGGUGGGAACCUACUAUAAAUAUGAUAAAAAUUUUGUUUAGACACAAUUUGAAUGAAUGAUUAUGAAAAAAAAAAGCGGCACGUUGAAAUAAAAAUUUAAGAAAUAUCAGAAGAAUAGAAAAACAAAAGAUUUCGAGAGAAAUAAUUAAAAUGUUUUUGCUGAUGUCUCGCUGCCGUAUAAGGUUAAAGGAAAUUGGCGUUGUUUGGGGUAAUUGGCGAGUUGGUGACGUAAGUGAAAAGGGUUGGGCGAAUAGUUAGACAGCCGUUGAUUUUUAAAUGAGAGACUCAGGGGUGAGGUGAAAUGAGAAUUCACAAUAAAAAAAAAAAAAUGGCUAUUGACAGUUGAAAAGAAAAAGGAAUGAAAAUUGAAAAUGGUUCAGGAAAAUGGUGUUUCGUGGAAAAUGAGCGUCUGGCGGGAUUCACUGAGAAGAGGGGUAUAAAAGGCUGCGAGCAUAAGAAAAGCCAAAGUUGAGAAUAAGACGUUACCGGUGAAACUUAGCUAGAGAGCAGUGAAGAAGUGGAAAAAUUUAAUUUGUGUGUUGCGAUUUUUUUUUAUUGUGAAUAUUCCGGUGGUGUAUCAAGCCUUUUUUGGAAGCACCGAAAAUUGUCCGGUUUUGGUCAGCACAACGGCGGGAAAUUGCCUUUUCUUUUUGGUAACGCAAGGUAGUGGCAAGUUGUCCACAGGAAAAAAAAGCCAAAAAAGUUACAUUGAGGGUGUGGAGAUUUGAAUUGUAAACUGGC